CAAUCCAUGAGUAAAGUGGCGACCGGGUGAGUAACACGUGACUAACCUACCUUCGAGUGGGGGAUAACCUCGGGAAACCGAGGCUAAUACCGCAUAACAUCGCAAGAUCAAAGCAGCAAUGCGCUGGAAGAGGGGGUCGCGGCUGAUUAGCUAGUUGGCGGGGUAACGGCCCACCAAGGCGAAGAUCGGUAUCCGGCCUGAGAGGGCGCACGGACACACUGGAACUGAAACACGGUCCAGACUCCUACGGGAGGCAGCAGUGGGGAAUUUUGCGCAAUGGGGGAAACCCUGACGCAGCAACGCCGCGUGGAGGAUGAAGCCCCUUGGGGCGUAAACUCCUUUCGACCAAGACGAUAAUGACGGUACUGGUGGAAGAAGCACCGGCUAACUCUGUGCCAGCAGCCGCGGUAAUACAGAGGGUGCGA
rnacentral:rRNA from 1 species